UGAACCCUCUGGCUGUCAGUGAUGGGUCCUUCUGUGACCUGUCUGCUGACUGAAUGAACAUCUUUCCUCUCCUCUGGACAGGUCAGGGACUUGUCUGCCUGCCAGUGGCAGGUCAAAACACUUGUGAUUACCCAUGGGGACAGAGACUGGUCUCUGAAGACUUUUGGUCUUCUUAUUCAAUGACAAUCUCAAGAACAUUGAAGCACCAGCAGGAAAAGCCAUCAGGUUCCAGAUGCCACCAUGAUGUCAAUCGGACUUCUCUGGGCAGACGACCCUACCAAUAUGUCCGGGAGCCCCUCUUCCCCAGAGCCCUGCCCCACUAGGGAAAGAGACAGACAGGCUGGGAGUAUGGAUCAACCUGUCAAUGCUCAUGUUCAGUGGGGAGGCAAUUACAGAAGUCAGACAUUCCACCUUCUGCACCCCAU